rnacentral:rRNA from 1 species
ACGCUCGACACCUACGGAAGGCAGCAGUGGGGAAUAUUGGGCAAUGGGCGCAAGCCUGACCCAGCAAUGCCGCGUGAAGGAAGAAGGCUUUCGGGUUGUAAACUUCUUUUGUCAGGGAAGAGUAGAAGACGGUACCUGACGAAUAAGCCACGGCUAACUACGCGCCAGCAGCCGCGGUAAUCUGAGCGGGCUGGCAAGGC